rnacentral:rRNA from 1 species
CAUGCCUAAGACAUGCAAGUCGAAUGAGGUGGCCCAAUGACGGAUGAGUGCUUGCACGAUUCCUGAUUGGAUCUUCCACCUAGUGGCGGACGGGUGAGUAACACAUGGGUGACCUGCCCUUAAGUCUGGGACAACUACUGGAAACGGUAGCUAAUACCGGAUGACACAUAGAUUCGUUUCUAUGUUAAAAGGUGCCUUUAAAGCAUCGCUUUUGGAUGGGCCUGUGGCGUAUUAGCUUGUUGGUAAGGUAAUGGCUUACCAAGGCGACGAUGCGUAGCCGGACUGAGAGGUUGAACGGCCACAUUGGGACUGAGACACGGCCCAAACUCCUACGGGAGACAGCAGUUAGGAAUAUUCGUCAAUGGGGGAAACCCUGAACGAGCAAUGCCGCGUGAGUGAUGAAGGUCCCUUUGGAUUGUAAAACUCUGUUGUAUGGGAAGAACGGCCAGACUAGGAAAUGAGUUUGGAGUGACGGCACCAUGCCAGAAAGCUCCGGCUAACUACGUGCCAGCAGCAGC